AAACUAUGUUGAAGCAAGAGACUCCAAAGCAAGACCCUGAAGACUUUACAACAGCACUCGUUACAUGAAGCAUCUAAAGGUCAGCAAAUGCUUCGUGAAAGCCUUUUGAUGACAGCUGUCAUUACAACUUUACUACAAAUUGGAAACCAUAGGCUGAAUUGGAGAAGACACAAGAUGGAAGAUUGAACCCUUGCAUCUUCACUUAGAGAAGAGCUACCCCAGAAAAAUAUGGUGCAUUUGCUUCCAAGAACCACAGAGAAGACGUCAAGCUGAAGUGUUGAGGGGGUGACAGAAGGUCCCCUGAAGUUAUCUGCUAUGCAACUUUGAUCUUUCCAUAGAUAAGAGCAUCCAGGAAUGGAAAGACUAGAGAAUAGAACCUUUGCCUCCCUUCAGAGUCACAUCAUAUAAAGGAAGGAAGAAACUUGAAAACUAAUGGAUGUAAGUAUGGGUUAGUGAUUUUUUUUUUAAUUCCUUUGGCUGCAUCCCUAGAAUGCCAGUUACUGCUUCUCUGUUCAAGGUUUAGUUACAGUGCUGUAUGUGUUCAGAGGUUUUCUGUUCCUCUUUUAGAAUAUAUCUUGCUAGUGCAUA